UAAAAAAAGGUAAGCUACUAAGAGCGAAUGGUGGAUGCCUUGACUGGUAAAGGCGAUGAAGGACGUACUAGACUGCGAUAAGCUACGGGGAGCUGUCAAGAAGCUUUGAUCCGUAGAUUUCCGAAUGGGGCAACCCAAUGUAUAGAGAUAUACAUUACCUAUAUAGGAGCGAACGAGGGGAAUUGAAACAUCUUAGUACCCUCAGGAAAAGAAAUCAAUAGAGAUUGCGUCAGUAGCGGCGAGCGAAAGUGCAAGAGGGCAAACCCAGUGCUUGCACUGGGGGUUGUAGGACUGCAAUGUGCAAGAGCUGAGUUUAGCAGAACAUUCUGGAAAGUAUAGCCAUAGAGGGUGAUAGUCCCGUAUGCGAAAAACAAAGCUUAGCUAGCAGUAUCCUGAGUAGGGCGGGACACGAGGAAUCCUGUCUGAAUCUGGGUCGACCACGAUCCAACCCUAAAUACUAAUACCAGAUCGAUAGUGCACAAGUACCGUGAGGGAAAGGUGAAAAGAACUGAGGUGAUCAGAGUGAAAUAGAACCUGAAACCAUUUGCUUACAAUCAUUCAGAGCACUAUGUAGCAAUACAGUGUGAUGGACUGCCUUUUGCAUAAUGAGCCUGCGAGUUGUGGUGUCUGGCAAGGUUAAGCAAACGCGAAGCCGUAGCGAAAGCGAGUCUGAAUAGGGCGCUUAGUCAGAUGCUGCAGACCCGAAACGAAGUGAUCUAUCCAUGAGCAAGUUGAAGCUAGUGUAAGAACUAGUGGAGGACUGAACCCAUAGGCGUUGAAAAGCCCCGGGAUGACUUGUGGAUAGGGGUGAAAGGCCAAUCAAACUUCGUGAUAGCUGGUUCUCUCCGAAAUAUAUUUAGGUAUAGCGUUGUGUCGUAAUAUAAGGGGGUAGAGCACUGAAUGGGCUAGGGCAUACACCAAUGUACCAAACCCUAUCAAACUCCGAAUACCUUAUAUGUAAUCACAGCAGUCAGGCGGCGAGUGAUAAAAUCCGUCGUCAAGAGGGAAACAACCCAGACUACCAGCUAAGGUCCCUAAAUCUUACUUAAGUGGAAAACGAUGUGAAGUUACUUAAACAACCAGGAGGUUGGCUUAGAAGCAGCCAUCCUUUAAAGAAAGCGUAAUAGCUCACUGGUCUAGUGAUUUUGCGCGGAAAAUAUAACGGGGCUAAAGUAAGUACCGAAGCUGUAGACUUGCACACAACUUAGAUUAUUUAAGUUUAGAAUAUGAGAAACUAAGUUAUGUUUAGUUAUAUUUUUACUGAUUUUUAUAGAGUAAAGAUAGAAAUAAAACUUAGUAAAAUCAGUAAAAAUAUUCUUAGGCUAAAGUUAAGUAGUUUAAGUUGUGUGCAAGUGGUAGGAGAGCGUUCUAUUUGCGUCGAAGGUAUACCGGUAAGGAGUGCUGGAGCGAAUAGAAGUGAGCAUGCAGGCAUGAGUAGCGAUAAUUAAUGUGAGAAUCAUUAACGCCGUAAACCCAAGGUUUCCUACGCGAUGCUCGUCAUCGUAGGGUUAGUCGGGUCCUAAGUCGAGUCCGAAAGGGGUAGACGAUGGCAAAUUGGUUAAUAUUCCAAUACCAACAUUAGUGUGCGAUGGAAGGACGCUUAGGGCUAAGGGGGCUAGCGGAUGGAAGUGCUAGUCUAAGGUUGUAGGAGGUUAUACAGGCAAAUCCGUAUAACAAUACUCCGAGAACUGAAAGGCUUUUUGAAGUCUUCGGAUGGAUAGAAGAACCCCUGAUGCCGUCGAGCCAAGAAAAGUUUCUAAGUUUAGCUAAUGUUGCCCGUACCGUAAACCGACACAGGUGGGUGGGAUGAGUAUUCUAAGGCGCGUGGAAGAACUCUCUUUAAGGAACUCUGCAAAAUAGCACCGUAUCUUCGGUAUAAGGUGUGGUUAGCUUCGUACUAGGAUUUACUCCGAAAGCGAAGAAACUUACAACAAAGAGUCCCUCCCGACUGUUUACCAAAAACACAGCACUCUGCUAACUCGUAAGAGGAUGUAUAGGGUGUGACGCCUGCCCGGUGCUCGAAGGUUAAUUGAUGGGGUUAGCAUUAGCGAAGCUCUUGAUCGAAGCCCGAGUAAACGGCGGCCGUAACUAUAACGGUCCUAAGGUAGCGAAAUUCCUUGUCGGUUAAAUACCGACCUGCAUGAAUGGCGUAACGAGAUGGGAGCUGUCUCAAAGAGGGAUCCAGUGAAAUUGUAGUGGAGGUGAAAAUUCCUCCUACCCGCGGCAAGACGGAAAGACCCCGUGGACCUUUACUACAGCUUGACACUGCUACUUGGAUAAGAAUGUGCAGGAUAGGUGGGAGGCUUUGAGUAUAUGACGCCAGUUGUAUAUGAGCCAUUGUUGAGAUACCACUCUUUCUUAUUUGGGUAGCUAACCAGCUUGAGUUAUCCUCAAGUGGGACAAUGUCUGGUGGGUAGUUUGACUGGGGCGGUCGCCUCCCAAAUAAUAACGGAGGCUUACAAAGGUUGGCUCAGAACGGUUGGAAAUCGUUCGUAGAGUAUAAAGGUAUAAGCCAGCUUAACUGCAAGACAUACAAGUCAAGCAGAGACGAAAGUCGGUCUUAGUGAUCCGGUGGUUCUGUGUGGAAGGGCCAUCGCUCAAAGGAUAAAAGGUACCCCGGGGAUAACAGGCUGAUCUCCCCCAAGAGCUCACAUCGACGGGGAGGUUUGGCACCUCGAUGUCGGCUCAUCGCAUCCUGGGGCUGGAGCAGGUCCCAAGGGUAUGGCUGUUCGCCAUUUAAAGCGGUACGCGAGCUGGGUUCAGAACGUCGUGAGACAGUUCGGUCCCUAUCUGCCGUGGGCGUAAGAAGAUUGAAGAGAUUUGACCCUAGUACGAGAGGACCGGGUUGAACAAACCACUGGUGUAGCUGUUGUUCUGCCAAGAGCAUCGCAGCGUAGCUAAGUUUGGAAAGGAUAAACGCUGAAAGCAUCUAAGCGUGAAGCCAACUCUAAGAUGAAUCUUCUCUAAGCUCUCUAGAAGACUACUAGUUUGAUAGGCUGGGUGUGUAAUGGAUGAAAGUCCUUUAGCUGACCAGUACUAAUAGAGCGUUUGGCUUAUCUUUAAUAAAGCAU
rnacentral:rRNA from 1 species